AUUGAACGCUGGCGGCAUGCCUUACACAUGCAAGUCGAACGGCAGAGGGGGCAACCCCUUGAGAGUGGCGAACGGGUGAGUAAUGCAUCGGAACGUGCCCAGUCGUGGGGGAUAGCCCGGGGAAACCCGGAUUAAUACCGCAUACGACCUGAGGGUGAAAGCGGGGGAACGCAAGGCCUCGCGCGAUUGGAGCGGCCGAUGUCGGAUUAGCUAGUUGGUGGGGUAAAGGCCUACCAAGGCGACGAUCCGUAGCUGGUCUGAGAGGACGACCAGCCACACUGGGACUGAGACACGGCCCAGACUCCUACGGGAGGCAGCAGUGGGGAAUUUUGGACAAUGGGGGCAACCCUGAUCCAGCCAUGCCGCGUGCGGGAAGAAGGCCUUCGGGUUGUAAACCGCUUUUGUCAGAGAAGAAAUCCUUUGGGUUAAUAACCUGGGGGGAUGACGGUACCUGAAGAAUAAGCACCGGCUAACUACGUGCCAGCCGCCGCGGUAA
rnacentral:rRNA from 1 species